rnacentral:rRNA from 1 species
UGGGGAAUCUUGCGCAAUGGGCGAAAGCCUGACGCAGCGAUGCCGCGUGCGGGAGGAAGGCCUUCGGGUUGUAAACCGCUUUCAGGAGGGACGAAGCUACUCGGGUGAAUAGCCCAGAGGGUGACGGUACCUCCAGAAGAAGCCCCGGCUAACUACGUGCCAGCAGCCGCGGUGAUACGUAGGGGGCAAGCGUUGUCCGGAUUUAUUGGGCGUAAAGAGCGCGUAGGCGGCCACAAAAGUCCGCUGUGAAAGUCCGAGGCUCAACCUCGGAAUGUCGGUGGAAACUUUGUGGCUAGAGUCCGGAAGAGGAGAAUGGAAUUCCUGGUGUAGCGGUGAAAUGCGCAGAUAUCAGGAAGAACACCCGUGGCGAAGGCGGUUCUCUGGGACGGUACUGACGCUGAGGCGCGAAAGCGUGGGGAGCGAACAG